rnacentral:rRNA from 1 species
AACGAACGCUGGCGGCAGGCUUAACACAUGCAAGUCGAACGCAUCGCAAGAUGAGUGGCAGACGGGAGAGUAACGCGUGGGAACAUACCCUUUUCUACGGAAUAGCCCUGGGGAACUGGUAUUAAUACCGUAUGCGCCCUAGGGGGGAAAGAUUUAUCGGGGAAGGAUUGGCCCGCGUUGGAUUAGCUGGUUGGUGGGGUAAAGGCCUACCAAGGCGACGAUCCAUAGCUGGUUUGAGAGAGUGAUCAGCCACAUUGGGACUGAGACACGGCCCAAACUCCUACGGGAGGCAGCAGUGGGGAAUAUUGGACAAUGGGCGCAAGCCUGAUCCAGCCAUGCCGCGUGAGUGAUGAAGGCCUUAGGGUUGUAAAGCUCUUUCACCGAUGAAGAUAAUGACGGUAGUCGGAGAAGAAGCCCCGGCUAACUUCGUGCCAGCCGCCGCUGUAAGAC